CACACACACACACACACACAGAUAUUCUCCAUGACCUUUUGUUGUGGUGAGUGCACGACUCAAAUGGUCAAUCUGAUGCGCUCCUGUUACGGAGGUGGAUGGAUGGGUGUCGUGCAGAGGUGAAGGCCACUCUCUCCUCUCUCCAUCGCUCAGCAGGAGCCAGUGAAAAAACUCCUCACAACACUUAUCACAUCCAGUUCACUGCUCUUCUCCAUACACCAGAUUACAGUACUCUUCAUACCUUUCUAUUCAUUUCACAAUGUUUGAUAUUCAUCCUUUCCACUCUGAGCUUCGCUUGAGGAAUGGUUGUUACAUCCUGCAUGGUGUCAGAAAAAUGUUGCGUGUGAAAUAAGGUUCUAUGUUACAUCUCUACACUGGUCAUCCAUUUCCAUUAAGAGGAUUUGUAAUUUUUACCUUUCUGCUUUCAGGAUAUAAGACAACUUAAAAACUGUAUCUACUGAUUUGCAUUCUGGCUUUUUUGCAUUUUAAGUGUAUAUGAAAUAUCAGAGAGCUAAUAAAAAGAGAAAACUUUCAAUAUCAAACCCAGGCUCGAAAUUGAGGAAGGCAGAACUGACGCCAUUGUGACCAUGGUUACAGCGGGGGUUUACUGCUGAUCAGGCAGCUGAGCAUUUCAGACAGAGGAUGGAAAAAAGGCACUGAUGCAAUUUUAGCGACAAACAAUGGACAUUUUGAACAAAUAAACCAUGUAAACGUGUUCUUGAAGACACUGAAAUUAAAAUCAUGGGCCUGUAAACAUGGGCACUUUAAACAAGUGUUUACUGGACGGGAUUGACAGCUGUGUGACUGCUUUGCCCACAGGAGGGAGCAAAAGGGCCAUUUCUUACAGUGUAGCCACCCCCCACACCCCAUUCCUGCCCCCCCCCCCCCCUCUCUGUCCCAGUUUAGAUAUGGUUCUAGACAGUCAUAACUGCAAGGUCACUUUGUUUCAGUGAAUCUUAAUAGAUUUUCCACUGAGCGUUCAAAGGAUCAGAUUUGGUUGGAAGCUUUUGAAGCGCACUUGAUCCCAAGAGAUGUCUUCGCAUCGUCAGAGGAUCCCUGUUCGAAUGCAUAAGUCUCCGCUCAGGCUCAGUCCGCAGCCACAAAGAGACAAUGGUUGGAUAGAGAGUGAUGACCUGACAGCGGGAUGAGGAGAUCCCCUCUGGACAGGUGAACCAGAUACUGGCUCGGGUCAUCGCAAGACCCCCAGGCGUGUCGCCCGCGAUGAGCCAGGGGAAGACGGACGAGACCCUGAAAACAAGACAAAUUUCCUGGUCUAAUCCGCAGACGGAGGCAAAGAACGGUGGAGACGGCCGGAGAUCCAGCUGUUUGUG